CAGCCGCCGCGGGAAUACGAAGGGGGCUAGCGUUGUUCGGAUUUACUGGGCGUAAAGCGCACGUAGGCGGAUCGAUCAGUCAGGGGUGAAAUCCCAGAGCUCAACUCUGGAACUGCCUUUGAUACUGUCGAUCUGGAGUAUGGAAGAGGUGAGUGGAAUUCCGAGUGUAGAGGUGAAAUUCGUAGAUAUUCGGAGGAACACCAGUGGCGAAGGCGGCUCACUGGUCCAUUACUGACGCUGAGGUGCGAAAGCGUGGGGGGCAAACAGGAUUAGAUACCCCAGUAGUCCCUGUCUCUUAUAC
rnacentral:rRNA from 1 species